AACGAACGCUGGCGGCAGGCUUAACACAUGCAAGUCGAGCGCCCCGCCAGGGGAGCGGCAGACGGGUGAGUAACGCGUGGGAACGUACCUUUUGGUUCGGAACAACUCCGGGAAACUGGAGCUAAUACCGGAUAAGCCCUAACGGGGAAAGAUUUAUCGCCGAAAGAUCGGCCCGCGUCUGAUUAGCUAGUUGGUGGGGUAACGGCUCACCAAGGCGACGAUCAGUAGCUGGUCUGAGAGGAUGAUCAGCCACACUGGGACUGAGACACGGCCCAGACUCCUACGGGAGGCAGCAGUGGGGAAUAUUGGACAAUGGGCGCAAGCCUGAUCCAGCCAUGCCGCGGGAGUGAUGAAGGCCUUAGGGUUGUAAAGCUCUUUUGUCCGGGAAGAUAAUGACUGUACCGGAAGAAUAAGCCCCGGCUAACUUCGUG
rnacentral:rRNA from 1 species